UGUCCAGGGAUGGAAUCGGACCCACAAUGUUCCGCUUACCGGGCAGAUGCCAUGUCCACUAGGCUACCCUGGAC
rnacentral:tRNA from 1 species